UACGUAGGGUGCAAGCGUUGUUCGGAAUUACUGGGCGUAAAGCGUGCGUAGUCGGUAUUGAGAGUCGCGGGUGAAAAUCCCAGGGCUUAACCCUGGAACUGCCUGCGAGACCUCAGUACUAGAGUGUGAGAGGGGAUAGUGGAAUACCAAGUGUAGCGGUGAAAUGCGUAGAGAUUUGGUGGAACACCGGUGGCGAAGGCGGCUAUCUGGCUCACAACUGACGAUCAGGCACGAAAGCGUGGGGAGCAAACAGG
rnacentral:rRNA from 1 species